UCAGCAAGCCCCGGUAAUACGGAGGGUGCAAGCGUUGUUCGGAUUUACUGGGCGUAAAGAGCGUGUAGGCGGUUUAGCAAGUCAGAUGUGAAAGCCCCGGGCUCAACCCGGGAAGUGCAUUUGAAACUGCUUCACUAGAGUAUGGGAGAGGAGAUUGGAAUUCCUGGUGUAGAGGUGAAAUUCGUAGAUAUCAGGAGGAACACCCGUGGCGAAGGCGAUUCUCUGGACCAAUACUGACGCUGAGACGCGAAAGCGUGGGGAGCAAACAGGAUUAGAUACCCUGGUAGUCCACGCCGUAAACGAUGAGAACUAGGUGUAGUGGGUAUUGACCCCUGCUGUGCCGAAGUUAACGCAUUAAGUUCUCCGCCUGGGGAGUACGGCCGCAAGGCUAAAACUCAAAGGAAUUGACGG
rnacentral:rRNA from 1 species